rfam:Streptomyces collinus Tu 365, complete genome.
CGAGCCGGGCGGACGGCCGCGUGAAGUCCCUCAGGGGGCUUCCCGAGGAACGUCCGGGCUCCACAGGGCAGGGUGGUGGCUAACGGCCACCCGGGGUGACCCGCGGGACAGUGCCACAGAAAGCAGACCGCCGGGGAUCUCGGUCCUCGGUAAGGGUGAAACGGUGGUGUAAGAGACCACCAGUGCCCAGGGUGACCUGGGCAGCUAGGUAAACCCCACCCGGAGCAAGGUCAAAAGGGAGCACCCCGGUGCUCCUGCGCGGACGUUCGAGGGCUGCCCGCCCGAGUCCGCGGGUAGACCGCACGAGGCCGGUGGCAACACCGGCCCUAGAUGGAUGGCCGUCGCCGAGGGCCCCGCGAGGAACCCUCGGAACAGAACCCGGCGUACAGCCCGACUCGUCUG